ACGUGUGAGUAACACGUGAGCAACCUGCCCCUGACUCUGGGAUAAGCGCUGGAAACGGCGUCUAAUACUGGAUAUGUGACGUGACCGCAUGGUCUGCGUCUGGAAAGAAUUUCGGUUGGGGAUGGGCUCGCGGCCUAUCAGCUUGUUGGUGAGGUAAUGGCUCACCAAGGCGUCGACGGGUAGCCGGCCUGAGAGGGUGACCGGCCACACUGGGACUGAGACACGGCCCAGACUCCUACGGGAGGCAGCAGUGGGGAGUAUUGCACAAUGGGCGCAAGCCUGAUGCAGCAACGCCGCGUGAGGGAUGACGGCCUUCGGGUUGUAAACCUCUUUUAGCAGGGAAGAAGCGAAAGUGACGGUACCUGCAGAAAAAGCGCCGGCUAACUACGUGCCAGCAGCCGCGGUAAUACGUAGGGCGCAAGCGUUAUCCGGAAUUAUUGGGCGUAAAGAGCUCGUAGGCGGUUUGUCGCGUCUGCUGUGAAAUCCCGAGGCUCAACCUCGGGCCUGCAGUGGGUACGGGCAGACUAGAGUGCGGUAGGGGAGAUUGGAAUUCCUGGUGUAGCGGUGGAAUGCGCAGA
rnacentral:rRNA from 1 species